rnacentral:rRNA from 1 species
CCUACGGGUGGCAGCAGUGGGGAAUAUUGGGCAAUGGGCGCAAGCCUGACCCAGCAACGCCGCGUGAAGGAAGAAGGCUUUCGGGUUGUAAACUUCUUUUCUCAGGGACGAAGCAAGUGACGGUACCUGAGGAAUAAGCCACGGCUAACUACGUGCCAGCAGCCGCGGUAAUACGUAGGUGGCAAGCGUUAUCCGGAUUUACUGGGUGUAAAGGGCGUGUAGGCGGGAAAGCAAGUCAGAUGUUAAAACCAUGGGCUCAACCUGUGGCCUGCAUUUGAAACUGUUUUUCUUGAGUACUGGAGAGGCAGACGGAAUUCCUAGUGUAGCGGUGAAAUGCGUAGAUAUUAGGAGGAACACCAGUGGCGAAGGCAGCAUACCGGCGCCCAACUGACGCUGAAGCACGAAAGCGUGGGUAUCGAACAGGAUUAGAUACCCGUGUAGUC